rnacentral:rRNA from 1 species
GACGAACGCUGGCGGCGUGCUUAACACAUGCAAGUCGAGCGGAGCGGCGAACGGGAGAGUAACGCUUGAGUAACUGCCCCCCUCUCUGGGAUAAAAGUUGGAAACGGCUGCUAAUACCGGAAAGUGGGGGAUGACUCGCGUCCUAUCAGCUUGUGGGUGGGGUAGUGGCCGACCGAUGCGACGACGGGUAGCCGGCCUGAGAGGGCGACCGGCCAGAUUGGGCCGAGAUACGGCCCGAACUACUAGGGGAGGCAGCAGUGGGGAAUAUGGCACAAUGGGGGAAACCCUGAUGCAGCAACGCGCGUGCGGGAUGACGGCCUUCUGGUUGUAAACCGCUUUCAGCCAUGACGCGGUAGUGGCAGAAGAAGCACCGGCUAACUACGUGCCAGCAGCCGCGGUAAUAC